rnacentral:sRNA from 1 species
ACUCAGCUCUCACGCAAACUACAAACCAAAGGGCUGGUCUCACUCUCACUGGGUACCCCCAACAGCCCCAAGUCUGUUUACAGAUGGUGGGCGAGAUGGGCUUGAGAACUUGCCUCAGGCUACCCACCUCCCAGCUGCGAAAGAAAAGGGCUGUGAAAUCUGCACACUGGGAUUUGCACCCUCCCCCAAGUUCUGGCCAUGAGGUUUCUCACCGCGUUCUCACCCUGUCCAAAUUGUUACAAAGUUCACCUAGAGAUUUCCUCCUUCCUGUGGAGUUUUACCCUCUGCUCCUCUGGCUUCCCUCCUGAUGGAUCCUUGUGAUGCCAGGCAGGAAUGAACUGUUUGGGGACCCAGCGAGUUCCCAGGGCCUUUCUGCUGCUUCUUCUACCCCUGUAUUUCACCCAGUUCUCUAAAUUGACUCAUCUCAAGCCAUUACGUGUGAGUGCAUCUUCAUCCACCUUGGCGAGGCUAGUGUCUCGAUUGGCAAUGCCUGCCAGGAGCUCUACUACCUGGAACACAGCAUCCAGCGCGAUAGCCCAAUGCCAAGUGACAAGACCACUGGGUAAGGAGAUAAUUGAUUCUACGCC